rfam:Alicyclobacillus macrosporangiidus strain DSM 17980 genome assembly, contig: Ga0104483_149
GCGGGUGUAGUUCAAUGGUAGAACUCCAGCCUUCCAAGCUGGUAGCGGGGGUUCGAUUCCCCUCACCCGCU